GGCGUGCCUAAUACAUGCAAGUCGAGCGAACAGACGAGGAGCUUGCUCCUCUGACGUUAGCGGCGGACGGGUGAGUAACACGUGGAUAACCUACCUAUAAGACUGGGAUAACUUCGGGAAACCGGAGCUAAUACCGGAUAAUAUAUUGAACCGCAUGGUUCAAUAGUGAAAGACGGUUUUGCUGUCACUUAUAGAUGGAUCCGCGCCGCAUUAGCUAGUUGGUAAGGUAACGGCUUACCAAGGCAACGAUGCGUAGCCGACCUGAGAGGGUGAUCGGCCACACUGGAACUGAGACACGGUCCAGACUCCUACGGGAGGCAGCAGUAGGGAAUCUUCCGCAAUGGGCGAAAGCCUGACGGAGCAACGCCGCGUGAGUGAUGAAGGUCUUCGGAUCGUAAAACUCUGUUAUUAGGGAAGAACAAAUGUGUAAGUAACUAUGCACGUCUUGACGGUACCUAAUCAGAAAGCCACGGCUAACUACGUGCCAGCAGCCGCGGUAAUACGUAGGUGGCAAGCGUUAUCCGGAAUUAUUGGGCGUAAAGCGCGCGUAGGCGGUUUUUUAAGUCUGAUGUGAAAGCCCACGGCUCAACCGUGGAGGGUCAUUGGAAACUGGAAAACUUGAGUGCAGAAGAGGAAAGUGGAAUUCCAUGUGUAGCGGUGAAAUGCGCAGAGAUAUGGAGGAACACCAGUGGCGAAGGCGACUUUCUGGUCUGUAACUGACGCUGAUGUGCGAAAGCGUGGGGAUCAAACAGGAUUAGAUACCCUGGUAGUCCACGCCGUAAACGAUGAGUGCUAAGUGUUAGGGGGUUUCCGCCCCUUAGUGCUGCAGCUAA
rnacentral:rRNA from 1 species